GGGGGUGUUCUGGCUUUUGACGGGUUGGCCAAUAGAUGUGUAAGCACGUAGAGCGUUGAAAGUGCGGCUCUUAAAUCUCGACUUUCAAACUAUAACAGGCGAUUAUAAUUUCGCUAUGGCUGCCUAACCUAAGAGGUUAAGCAAAUGCCAUCUGCUUGCCCGAGCUUGGUCUCGGUUGCGAGGGAGUUCAAGCAGUCGACAAACUGAGGUAAUUUUAGCCCAUUUCUACCAAGCUAGAAUUUAUUGUGUAGGAUAAGGAUUGAUUGGGUUUUUGCUACACCUGAUGAGUCUCGAAAACUAAGCAGCAAUAAACGUGUAGAAAACGCAACUCUAUUUCAAUUCGGACCCGGGUUCGACUCCCGGCAUCUCCACCA
rnacentral:tmRNA from 1 species